AUAAAUCAUGGAUAGUCAAAAUAAACUAUCGAUAGUGAGAGAAAAAACUAUCGAUCCUAUCGAUAGCCGCAUCGAUUGUUUUGCAGCUCUAGUUUAGAUGCUCUAAGCUAAUUUUUGGUAGAUUCCACUAUUAAUUUAAUAAUGGGAAGCUCUCGUUCGUCGCGAAGCCCUUUAAAACGACAUCACCAUAAAAGCAAGCAUAAAAAAAGAGGAAAAGAUCGUGAUAGACGUAAGAAUGGUGUGCAUAGAAGUGAUCGGUCUGAAGAAAAAUAUCGGAAUUCUAUUUCUAUAAGUAAAAAAAAUAAAUGCAAGGACUCUAUAAGUCAUUAUGAAUUUGUAAAAGAUGUUCGGGGAACUAGGCAUUCAAAAUAUAGAAAACUGACGAAUGUUGCCAAUAGCUCUAGUGACAGUCAAGAUACGGAAUAUUGCACUUAUAGUGUUGAAAGAAAACGUAAACGACAAAAAGAAAUUGAAACAGGUCAUGACGAACAAGUCAACAGAACGCAGCGGCAAGAUGAUGAAGAGAGGCAGAUUACGGAUGAAACGAGUAAGCGCAUUGAGCUAUUGGUUAAAAAACGUGUAGAAGAAGAACUAAUAAGGCGUAAAGAUGAAAUUGAAAAAGAAGUGAUGCGUAGAGUAGAAGCCGCCAAAUCUGAAAUGGAGAGGGAGCUGAUGUUCGAACUGGAAAAACAACGUGAGCAAAUUCGCGAAGAAGCUCGACAUCGAGAGGAGUUCGAGAAAAAGAAAAGAGAGCAACUGGAAGAUAUAUUUGCUGAAAACAACCGAAGAAUAGAAGAAGCCCAACGAAAAUUGAUAUUCUCGUACGUUUUCUUUGUAUGGCGUAUUACGAAAAUCGUCAAGUAAAAUACGGUUCAGUGUUUAGGGGUUCUCAUCAUAUCGCCGCUGAUGCUUCGUUUAAUGUGGCCAAACAUAAUGUGCUGCUGCCUGGCGUCGUUGGUUUGAUAUAGAGCGAGGAUGUGGUCGAUGCGGUUAAUAAAGUUGUAUAAUGAGUUCGGGUUGCCAUCAAAUCUUUCUACGUUUCCUAUUUGGUAAGCCAGUUGGGUCAUGUUAGUGCCAGAAAGUAUUAUUAUUUUUUCUGGAAGUUCCAUUUUAUUUUAUUACUAUUUUUUUAACUUAUUUUAUUCAUAAUUUCUUAGUUACUCUUAUUUGUAGUUAUUUUCGUUGAUUUGUGUUAAUUAUUCUUAUUUAUAGCUGAUUUACCUUUUUUGAAAUAGUUUUAAGUUUAUUAGUUGUCGCACUGGUAGCACUUUCGUAAGUACCAAGGUAAAUGCGUUGGACUUAUUGUAUCUAAAAUUGUUACAGUGUGUUUCUGUCUAAUAUACAGAUUUUUAGACAAAUUGCGUUUCAUGGUUAGCACACCAUUGUCGAGGUUUACAAUAAGCUUGACGCGAAUUUGACUGCCGCACGGGUUGCUUUAACGAAAGUAUAUACAAGAAUUAAGAAGCCUCGCUAUUGCAUCAAGAUUAACUUUGCGUCUACCGACAAGAUGAGUCGAACAAACGCUCUAUUGUAGAAGUAAUGCUUCAGUAAGUGAAGUGAACGACGCAAAACCGUUGACCGUAGCAGCUGUUACAACCUAUCUUGCAAUAUAAAUGAACACUAACCACCGCUUCUACUAUCCAGAACGUGGGCUAUCCGUAAAAUCACAGUCGAAUACAAUUUUUUAUAAAUAUUUUUAAUAGUUAGAUUUUAGUUUAGUUUUAGAUCUUUUACAUUAAGAAAAAUUAUAACUGAAAAGGUAAAUGCGUGCAAAACCAUCAAUAUAAACAAGGGGCGGCAGUCACUUAUUCCGGAAUAAGGUCGACGCUAAUAAAAAAAAAGAUUUUACUUUGUUUUUAGUUUUAUCCUCAAAUAUCAGCUAUGAUCAAAUCAAAUAUAGCUAUGAGCUAUUGGUCUUUUGUUUACAACAAUUGAGAGAGGAGCAAAUGUUUUGGUAAAUCUUAUGUGUGUUUGUUUUAAAUGAGAAGCACUAAGGUGACCAUUUUUAAGUGAGCAACGCAGCUGCAGUUGUAAGACGGCGUUCAGACAAAGACUAUUUUUGGCGCUCAUUAUCGGGAAAUACACUUUUGGUGUCGCUCACUGAGACACGAGUCCAACAGCUUGGGUCGAAAAAUUUUUUUCAUUUUUUUCACAUCACAUUCUUAAAUUCUUGAACGUUUCAUAUACGCGGUGCGCAAAUAUAUUUUUGAUUACCUAGUUUUUUACCCUUCACCCUUUUCUAAAAUAUUUUUUAUUAUAUUAUGCCUAUUUGCAUAGUAAAUACAAAAAAUUUAUAAUAAAAUUUCAAAUUACUAACUAAUGUAAAUAUUCUUUUGAAACCGUGCGCUAUUGCAACAAGGAAAGGAAGUUCAAAAUGAAAAGGAUUGCCGAAUUGCGUAGUAGCAAACUGUUACGAAGAAGUACACAAAGAGGAUGUAGAAAGGAUCGAGCAAGCAAAUAACUGUAUCAUUAUUGCAACACUGUUGUUCUUCUAAAGAUGCUCCACUUAUACUUAACCUAAUCAAUGCAAAUAUUUUGCCCGGCAAACCAUUGAGAAGUGGAAAUCUAAAAUUGAAUUUCUGCUGAAAAUACAUUUAAAGCUGAAGAACGAUUAGCGAUGAUAGAAGAGCAACGGCUCAUGGAAGAAAAACGUCAACGAAUGCGUAAAGAAGAAGAAAAACGUGUC